AACGUAGGAGACGAACGUUAUCCGGAGUUACUGGGCGUAAAGGGCGUGUAGGCGGUUUGUUAAGUCUGGCGUGAAAGCUCUCGGCUAAACCGGGAGAGGUCGUUGGAUACUGGCGAACUAGAGGAUGGUAGAGGCGUGUGGAAUUCCGGGUGUAGCGGUGAAAUGCGUAGAGAUCCGGAGGAACACCAGUGGCGAAGGCGACACGCUGGGCCAUACCUGACGCUAAAGCGCGACAGCAUGGGGAGCAAACGGG
rnacentral:rRNA from 1 species